GGCUUCUUUUAGAAGCUACAUUCUCUAAAAAUUCUCAGUGCUUCUCUCCCUGGGAUGUCAUUUUGUCCUUUCAGAAUUCCUGCAGGAUUUCCCACUUUUCUCUCUCCGGCUGCUGGAGUGCAAUGGCACGAUCUCUGCUUACUGCAAUCUCUGCCUCCCGGGUUCAAGUCAUUCUCCUGUCUCAGCCUCCUGAGUAGCUGGGAUUACAGGGGUGCACCACCACGCCUGGCUAAUUUUUGUAUUUUUAGUAGAGAUGGGGUUUCACCAUGUUGCUCAGGUUGGUCUCGAACUCCUGACCUAGUGAUUUGCCUGCCUCAGCCUCCCAAAGUGCUGGGACUACAGGCAUGAGCCACCACACCCAGCCACUUAAUUUUCUUAAUAGCCCAGUGAAGUUGGUACUACAUUAUUAUUAUCUCCAUACACAUGGGGAAACAGAAGCCCAAAGAAAUGAAAUAACUCACCCAAUGCCACACAGUCAUAAGUGACAGAGCCAGAAUUUAAAUGUGGCCAUCUGGCCUCAGGGUCCAUGGUCUUAACCACUAUGCUAAACUGUUUCUUCAGUUUUUGUCUAUAUAUUUGUUGCUUUAAUAUUUUUUGGAUUUUAUAAUUAAUCUAUACUUAUUAUAAAUUUAAAACAAGAAAAGAGUGAAGAAAGUAAAUGCCUACCUGAAGCACCACAUUCCAGAUAUAAUUACCAUUAGCAUGUUGACAACUAUUGUUCAUUCAUCAUAGGCCUGGAUUCAUGUAUGUGUGAUUUUACAUGAAUGGAGUCAUAUCAUCAUGCCAUACAUGUGGCACUUUUAAGGCCCUCUUUGGCUUUGUUUUCCUAACCUCCUUCCCUUCAUUUCCACACCCCCUACCUCAUUUAGCAAAUGAGUAAUGUACCCUUUUAUAGUUCACAUAUAUGAAAUUAAAAAUAGCUAUGCUUAGAUACAGAUAGAAGGUUGAGUUUUUUUUUUUUUUUUUUUCCUGCAUCUUGCUUUUCUUACUCAACAGUAUGUCAUGGAAAUUUCCCAAAUCAACUGGAUUGAUUUCUCUUACUCUUCAUUUUUUUCUUUUUUAGACAGAGUCUUACGCUGUCACCUGGGCUGGAGUGCGGUGGCACGAUCUCAGCUCACUGCAACCUCUGCCUCCCAGCUUCAAGCGAUUCUCCUGCUUCAGCCUCCCGAGUAGCUGGGAUUACAGGUGGCCGCCACUACGCCCAGCUACUUUUUGGUAUUUUUUAGUAGAGAUGGGGUUUCACCAUGUUGGCUAGGCUUGUCUCAAACUCCUGACCUCGUGAUUCGGCUGCCUCGACCUCCCAAAGUGCUGGGAUUACAGGUGUGAGCCACCGCGCCCAGCCCUCUCACUCUUCUUAAUGGUUGCUGAUAUGGUUUGGCUGUGUCCCCAGCCAAAUCUCAUCUUGAGUUGUAGCUCCCAUAAUUCCUAUGUCCUGUGGGAGGGACCCAGUGGGAGACAACUGAAUCAUGGGGGUAGUUUUCCCCAUACUGUUCUCGUGGUAGUGAAUAAGACUCAGGAGGUCUCAUGGUUUUAUAAGGGGCCUCCCCUUUCACUUGGCUCUCAUUCUCUCUUGCCUGCCACCAUGUAAGAUGUGCCUUUUACCUGCCACCAUGAUUGUGAGGCCUCCCCAGCCACGUGGAACCGUGAGUCCAUUAAAGCUGUUUUUCUUUAUAAAUUACCCAGUCUCAGAUAUGUCUUUAUCAACAGUGUGAAAAGGGACUAAUACAGUCGCAUAUUUCAGUGUAUGGUCAAUUUUAUAUAUUCCUCCAAUAAUAAAAUCCUGCCAACUUAAUAUUUCCCUGUAGGUAGUGUUUUAGCUUGGUUUCCUACUACAGCAGAGCCAGAGAUGAGGACUUGCCUGUGUGCAAUCACAUAGGGUAGG
rnacentral:lncRNA from 10 species